GACGAACGCUGGCGGCGUGCUUAACACAUGCAAGUCGAACGGAAAGGCCCUGCUUUUGUGGGGUGCUCGAGUGGCGAACGGGUGAGUAACACGUGAGUAACCUGCCCUUGACUUUGGGAUAACUUCAGGAAACUGGGGCUAAUACCGGAUAGGAGCUCCUGCUGCAUGGUGGGGGUUGGAAGGUUUCGGCGGUUGGGGAUGGACUCGCGGUUUAUCAGCUUGUUGCUGGGGUAGUGGCUUACCAAGGCUUUGACGGGUGGCCGGCCUGGGGGGGUGACCGGCAAAAUUGGGAUGGGAAUACGGCCCGGCCUCCAACGGGAGGCGGCGGUGGGGAAUAUUGCACAAUGGGCGGAGGCCGGAGGCAGCAACGCCGCGGGCGGGAUGACGGCCUUCGGGUUGUAAACCGCUUUCGCAUGUGACGAAGCGGGAGUGACGGUAAUGGGUGAAGAAGCACCGGCUAACUACGUG
rnacentral:rRNA from 1 species